UACGAAGGGGGCUAGCGUUGCUCGGAAUCACUUAGGGCGUAAAGCGCACGUAGGCGGACUCUUAAGUCAGGGGUGAAAUCCUGGAGCUCAAACUCCAGAACUGCCUUUGAUACUGGCAACCUAGAGACUGGAAGAGGUUAGUGGAAUUCCCAGUGUAGAGGUGAAAUUCGUAGAUAUUGGGAAGAAACACCAGUGGCGAAGGCGGCUAACUGGUCCA
rnacentral:rRNA from 1 species